AUGAACGCUAGCGACAGGCCUAACACAUGCAAGUCGAGGGCAGCACAAGGAGCAAUCUGAGGUGGCGACCGGCGCACGGGUGAGUAACACGUAUGCAACCUGCCUGUAAGCGGGGAAUAACCCGUUGAAAGACGGACUAAUACCGCAUAAUACUAAAUUACUGCAUGGUAAUUUAUUUAAACAUUUAUGGCUUACAGAUGGGCAUGCGCAUGAUUAGCUAGUUGGAGAGGUAACGGCUCCCCAAGGCAACGAUCAUUAGGGGUUCUGAGAGGAAGGUCCCCCACACUGGUACUGAGACACGGACCAGACUCCUACGGGAGGCAGCAGUGAGGAAUAUUGGUCAAUGGACGAGAGUCUGAACCAGCCAAGUCGCGUGCAGGAAGAAUGUCCCUAUGGAUUGUAAACUGCUUUUGCAGGGGAAUAAAGUGCAUCACGUGUGAUGUUUUGUAUGUACUCUGCGAAUAAGGAUCGGCUAACUCCGUGCCAGCCGCCGC
rnacentral:rRNA from 1 species